UCGGGAAUUUUGGGCAAUGGGCGAAAGCCUGACCCAGCAACGCCGCGUGAAGGAUGAAGUAUUUCGGUAUGUAAACUUCGAAAGAAUAGGAAGAAUAAAUGACGGUACUAUUUAUAAGGUCCGGCUAACUACGUGCCAGCAGCCACGGUAAUACGUAGGGACCAAGCGUUGUUCGGAUUUACUGGGCGUAAAGGGCGCGUAGGCGGCAAUUCAAGUCAUCUGUGAAAUCUCCGGGCUUAACUCGGAACGGUCAGAUGAUACUGCUUUGCUAGAGUGCAGAAGGGGCAAUCGGAAUUCUUGGUGUAGCGGUGAAAUGCGUAGAUAUCAAGAGGAACACCUGAGGUGAAGACGGGUUGCUGGGCAGACACUGACGCUGAGGCGCGAAAGCCAGGGGAGCAAACGGGAUUAGAUACCCACGUAGUCCCUGAGCGGGCUGGCAAGGCGCAU
rnacentral:rRNA from 1 species